ensembl:lncRNA
CUCCUCCCGGCAUUGUCCCGCGGCCGCCGUCGGGCUCUUAAGCCCGGCCGCCCUGGGGCACGGCCGCAGCAGCUCUUCCGCGGCCCUCGCCCCAUGGUGCUGGCUGGAAGGAGCCGUGCAGGAGCACUGUGAAGAGACUUUCCAGGAAUGUUUCUGCAUGGAAAGCCAACACGUCUGCCUUGCAGGACUGAGGGAAGGAGGAGGGAUGGUGACUUGAUCGGUGAAGUCAGUGUGAGACUUCCCAUUGAUUCCAGCGGGUGCCGACCUCUAUGGGCUGAGACAGCAGCCUCAGCAUUGAGCUUGAACCUCACACAAUGGGACCCUUAUCCACAGUGAGGCCACAAAAUGCUGUUGCAUCCUAAAUAAAUUCACAUGAAACCAUCACACGGCAGUUUUCUUUGUGUGGGAACUUAAGGAGCUGGGAGAAGAAGGAUGGGGCAUGGGGAAGAUGCUCACAUAGCGUGUUUAAGAAGGACAGAUAAGGUGGAUAGAAGCAGAGGCAGGUCUGGUUCCUCUACUCCAGUGUUAUUUCCCAAAGCCUCACGCUGCAGUGUGGUGUUACAUGAACACAGCCCAUAGAGGAGUUAAGGGCAGCUUUUAUCCUCUGAUGACUAGCGUGCUGCAGCCAGAUGGAACGGUAUAAAU